UGUGAAAGUUUCAACUUCUCACAUUACCUUUAUGCUGCAACUGUAUUGAAUCCAAACACUUUUCACAAGCAAUCUGUCUUCUCUCGUUUUCUUCGCACUUGAUUGAUCAGUUCUCUUCAAUUUAUUCCGAGCACUCACAAUCACAUUGAUCA